AUUGAUAUAUGCACAAUGUGUUGUACCAGAAGGAGAUGAUUUCGAUGAUUUAGGCUAGAAGGAAUUUUUUCCAGAUCAGAAAGAAAGAGGGGAGUUGAUUCCGGUGAUAUCCAACAUCCCUUGUUGGUUUUUUGUGAGCUAAGCAACCUGAUAGUAGCAUCAUCUCUCUUUCCGAUGAAGAGUAUAUUAAAUGUAUGACUCAAUGGAGAUUUUAUGGUGUCCUUCUAUGGGAUGGUUGAAGAUGAAUACAAAUGGAUGUUCCUUUGGAAAUCCAGGAAAGGCAUGCAUUGGUGGGAACUUAUGGAAUGCGAGAGCUGAGGUAAUUAUGAAUUUCAGAGAAGCUGUUGGGAUGAGGGCAAACUUUGAAACUGAAUUUAGUGCGGCUAUCUCUGGUUUUGAUCAUGCUCAAUCCUAUAAUGUUCAAAAGCUAUGGGUUGAAUACAAUUCAGUGGUUGUAGUUAUCCUCCUUUCGCGAGGUUUAGUCCCCUAGUUUCUUCUUCAAAGAUGGAGAAAUCUCAGAUCUUAUCUUUUGAAUAUCCAAUGGAAGAUUACCCAUUGCCACCGUGAAGUCAACACAAUUGCAGACUACCUUUCGAAGUCUGCAGCGAAUUUUGAUGCGUUAGAGCCUGUGUUCAUUUGGUCCCCUUUGUUGAGUAUGGAACUGGAAAGGAUGCAUCUUUGCGUCCUCGGUACAAAUUUUUGUAAUUUUCCUUCUCUGUGAUAGGAUUGUUUCCUUAAGGUUCUUAUCCUAUUGAUGGCAAUGCCAAAGGUAGGUUUUUUGACCUUGGACUCAUUCCCUAUAUGUUUGGAUUCCUUAUCCCUUGUACAUUAUUUUUCAUAUUUUUAAUAUACAUCUUUGGAUCUUCUAGCAAAAA